AAAUAUGAUGGGGGAGGGGGGCUAAUCCAUCAGAAUGAUUCCGUCCCAUUUUUUCAUGGUCGGGUUCCCCAUGGCAAACAUUUAACGAAUGGAAUGGAUUUAUUACUGAAUACGUGAAUUUAAUGUCUUCGGAUACAUUGGAUACAUCGUUGGACGGCCCGACGUAAAGCCGACUUUAACCGUUCUCUUCACCCGAGAAAACAUCCAAAAAAAAAAAACUAUUUUCGCACGAUAUGAGAACGGUUAAAGUGGCUUUAUGUCGGGCCGUCCAACGAUUAUCCGAUAACAGGUUAAAUUUACAUAUUCCGUAAUAAAUCCGUUCCGUUAAAUAUUUGUCAUGAGGAACCCGGCUAUGAAAAAAGGUUCAAGAUUGAAGAUUAAAUGCUUUUCCUGAUCACUCUUUUGAUUUUUAGUGAUGAUCUGAAUCGAGUGGAUAGGCAAUCCAUCAUUGAGGGAGUACGAGCUUGUCAGAAUCAAAAUGGAUCUUUCAUAGCCAUGGUCGAAUGCGAAAACGACAUGAGAUUCCUCUAUUGCCUCUAUUGCCUCUAUUGCCUAUUCCUCAUGUGUAUCAGCGAUUUUAGACUGAUUAGGUGUGGAUAUAUCCAAGUGCUAUAGACUAUAUUUUAAGAAGCAUUGUGAUUCAUAUUAUGAUAAUUGCAGUCAUACAAUAUUGGCGAUAUUGAGCAAGGACCACGUCGAAUCUCAUGGAGGCUCCACGUUUUGUGGCUGUGGCAUAUUGAACAUAUUGGCGAAAUUUAACAACACUCGGCCUGAUCCUUUACACACAUAUUUAGAUAAAUGCAUAAAAUUACGAUUUUAUUCUGUAUUUGAAUUUAAAGAUCUCUGAUAUAUA